rnacentral:lncRNA from 1 species
ACACCCAUUUUAUGUACGUGUUGAUGUUUCACCGCCCAACAUUCUGUGCCAUACAGCAUCGCCGGCCUUAUUGCCGUCCUAUAAAAUUUUCCCUUGAGUUUCAGUGGCAUACGGCGGUCACACAACACGCCGGAUGCACUCUUCCACUUCAUCCAUCCAGCUUGUAUUCUAUGGUUGAGAUCUCCAUCUAAUUCUCCGUUCUUUUGCAAGAUAGAUCCUAGGUAACGAAAACGGUCGCUCUUUGGUAUUUCUUGAUCUCCGAUCCUCACCCCUAACUCGUUUUGGCCUCCAUUUGCACUGAACUUGCACUCCAUAUAUUCUGUCUUUGAUCGGCUUAGGCGAAGACCUUUAGAUUCCAACACUUCUCUCCAAAGGUUAAGCUUUGCAUUUACCCCUUCCUGAGUUUCAUCUAUCAACACUAUAUCGUCUGCGAAAAGCAUACACCAAGGAAUAUCAUCUUGAAUAUGUCCUGUUAACUCAUCCAUUACCAACGCAAAAAGGUAAGGACUUAAGGAUGAGCCUUGAUGUAAUCCUACAGUUAUGGGAAAGCUUUCGGUUUGUCCUUCAUGAGUUCUUACGGCAGUCUUUGCUCCUUCAUACAUAUCCUUUAUAGCUUGGAUAUAUGCUACUCGUACUCCUUUCUUCUCUAAAAUCCUCCAAAGAAUGUCUCUUGGGACCCUAUCAUACGCUUUUUCCAAAUCUAUAAAGACCUACUUCAUACUAAUGCUAUGGACGUCAGCUUAGUAGAUUUAUUCUCUGGACAGAGUAACACAAAGGUUGAAUACAAACAAUUUCUUAUUAAAUUCAAGAGAUCAUUAUGUGCUCACAUCUUCACGAUCAACCAAGCCUGCAAUGUUGCCACCUUUAGCCCAGAUGCUCUCCGCCAUGCUAAGUACUUUUUUAUUCACCCUCCAUUUGGUACUUCCAGGCAUAUCUAGGGCCUGCACAUGUCAUCAAAAGUGAAUAUCAUUAUUACGAUAUGUACAAGAAAGUAUAUGUUGAAGGACUAGAAUAGAUCCAUGGUUUGCCUCUAUGCACAGGGAAAGCUCAGUUAACUGAUGUUCCAUUACAGAUUAUAACUACUAUUGGUUGUACCCAGUAUUCUCAAUCAGAAAGGGGCAGUGACAGGAAUGAUGGUGCAUCUCCCCAUGUAUUAACCAGAUAACCGAGCAAAGGCUCUGGUUCUGACCUAUUAAUAUUAUACAAGGGAAACGUAGAAUGGAACUCUAACUUCAUGUACCUCGAAUACUUUCAUCAUCUGCUUUCCAGAAAUAUUCCUCAUUGCAUCUACCUGCCUCCUUGAUCCAUGAGUACGCAUGACAUAAGAAGGUAGGAACAAGUGACCACCCUUGUCAUACCUGCAAAGAUUUAGAUUUUAUUGGCAUCUGAGUGCAUUCUUCUAAUUUAUUUGACAUUUGAUUAGCCAAAAGCCAACUUGAAUAAGAUUUCUUUUAUUUGUUAACCUGCUGGUCAAGAAACAGAAAGAGAACUUGCUAAAUGAAUAUACUUUAUCAUAUCUCAUACCCUUUCCACUUUCUGGGAGGCACCAACAUUGGCACAUAAGGAAUCAACAUAUGUUUAGCCUGUAAAGAAACAAAGCAUAAAAUAACUGUAAGUAGCAGGAGUGUCCAAAUAUGAAAAUGUAGCUAGGCGUAUACAAUUAUAUUAUACAUUAACUUGAUGGGGAAUAAUUGAUAAGUAUUGUUUUUUAAUUAUAAAUCAAUAACUUGAAUUCGCAGUGCAAACUGAAUUCAAGUGUACAGAACAAGAAAACACAACAACAACAACAACAACAACAACAAAGCCUUUUCCCACUAAGUGGGGUCGGCUAUAUGAAUCCUAGAACGCCAUUGCGCUCGGUUUUGUGUCAUGUCCUCCGUUAGAUCCAAGUACUCUAAGUCUUUUCUUAGAGUCUCUUCCAAAGUUUUCCUAGGUCUUCCUCUACCCCUUCGGCCCUGAACCUCUGUCCCGUAGUCACAUCUUCGAACCGGAGCGUCAGUCGGCCUUCUUUGCACAUGUCCAAAUCACCAGAGCCGAUUUUCUCUCAUCUUUCCUACAAUUUCGGCUACUCCUACUGUACCUCGGAUAUCCUCAUUCUCAAUCUUAUCCUUUCUCGUGUGCCCACACAUCCCACGAAGCAUCCUCAUCUCCGCUACACCCAUUUUGUGUAGUGUUGAUGCUUCACCACCCAACAUUCUCUGCCAUACAACAUCGCUGGCCUUAUUGCCGUCCUAUAAAAUUUUCCCUUGAGCUUCAGUGGCCUACGACGGUCACACAACACGCCGGAUGCACUCUUUCCAUCCAGCUCGUAUUCUAUGGUUGAGAUCUCCAUCUAAUUCUCCGUUCUCUUGCAAGAUAGAUCAUAGGUAACGAAAACGGUCGCUUUUUGUGAUCUUCGCUAGAUUGCUCCGGUCAUUAGUGUGGAUAAGUAUAUAAAUGGAUAGAGAUAGGAAAGCAAACACAAGAUGUACGUGGUUCACCCAGAUUGGCUACGUCCACGGAAUAGAAGAGUUCUCAUUAAUUGUGAAGGGUUUACACAAGUACAUAGGUUCAAGCUCUCCUUUAGUGAGUACGAGUGAAUGAUUUAGUACAAAUGACAUUAGGAAAUAUUGUGGGAGAAUGAUCUCGUAAUCACGAAACUUCUAAGUAUCGGAGUGUGGUGUCGUCUUGACUUGCCUUAUCUGUCUCAUAGGUAGAUGUGGCAUCUUCUCUGGAAGUACUCUUCCUCCAUCCAGGGGUGGUAUCUUUAACUGGUGGAGAUGCACAAGGUAAUGUAUCAAUUUCACUUGAAGCUUACUUGUAGUUUCAGGCUUGGUCAAGCGCGAUACAAACCAUGUAGUAGGAGUCCCCCAAGUCGCCGAGCUAGGGGGUCUGCUGAAAGAGGUGACAGACAAGGUAAGCAAUCAGAGCUCCGACUGAUUGUUCACCUUCUCCCCAUCUUGCAGCAGCAUGAAGGAUAAAGAGAAGAAAAAUGAGAAGAGAUGAUAUGAGAUACUUUUGCUUUUGAAGAAGUAACUUUCCACAGGCUUAUUCUUGAACUGAGCUGGAGGGUUUUCUGGUUUCCUCCAGAGUAUAAGGCCGACUGAAGAAUUUGAGGGUCAAAACAAGUCCAUCAAAUCUAGAGUACGUUCCACCCUGCUGAUAUGGGAUACUUUUGCUUUUGACAGAGUAAUGGAUGUAUCGGCACGUGUGCUGUUACGCUUGUCUCCACAUGCUUCCUUGUAUCCUUCGCACUUGCCCUAUCUGUUCCUCAAGCAGAUGCGGAAUCUUCCCUGGAAACAUAAGAUGUUGAAGAUGAGUACUCGAGAGCAAUGCCAGGUAAGUAAUCAGGUAAGGGGUUCCAGGCAGUCAGUUCCUGGCUGGAAGCUUGAUUCCAAGUGCUGACUGAUUGCUCUCUUUCUCCUUGUCUUGCAGGUAAAAAACAAGGCCAAAAGAAAAAACAGGGAAAAAGCAUGAUAUGGGAUACUCUUGCUUUUAACCCUGAUGAUAUGAGAUAUUCUUGCUCUAGUAUAGCUUGUUUGCAGAGGUAUUAUCGGGGGGAAAGAAAGCUGAAUAUUUCGAAAGGCUUUCGUUGGGAGUGCCCUCUCAGAUAUGAUGAAGGGUUGAGCAUUUUUGCAGGUCUGCCUGUCCGUUGGGGAUGGAGGUCGACAUAUAUAGGAGUCUCCCUAACAACAAGUAGUAAUGCUAUUCCUUUACCCUGCUUGGUCAUAGCACGGUAGUGGGAGCUGCCAGUUUCACAUGUUUUAACUCUGUCAGAGCACUUUGAAAAAGUGGUCUGUGGUAUCUGGCUCUCGAGAUUCGGAGAACGAUGCCUCUUCGAUUUUUGAGAAAGCAAUCAUGUUGGGGGUCUGACUCUCGAGAUUCGGAGAGCAGUGUCUCUUCGAUUUUUGAGGAAGUAAUCAUGUUGGGAGUCUGGCUCUCGAGAUUCGGAGGGCGGUGCCUCUUCGAUUUUGGAGCAAGCAAUCUUGUUGGGAGUGUUGUCUCGAAUGUGAGUAAAGGUUGGGACAUGUUUGCUAGUCUACCUUGCCACGAAGCACAAAGGUUGACACACAGGGACUUUCCAAUUAUCCAGCAAUGGUACUGUUCCUUUACCCUCUCUUCGAUUUUGAGAAAGUAGUCAUGUUGGGAGUCUGGCUCUCGAGAUUCGGAGGACGGUGCCUCUUCGAUUUUGGAGCAAGCAAUCUUGUUGGGAGUGUUUUCUCGAAUGUGAGUAAAGGUUGGGCAUGUUUGCUAGUCUACCUUGCCACGAAGCACAGAGGUUGACACACAGGGACUUUCCAAUUAUCCAGCAGUGGUACUGUUCCUUUACCCUUGUGGGUAAUAAUAUGGUAGCUAGACCUUCAAAAUUUAUGUGUCUAAACUUUGUUAGUGCUGUUUCUUUGCUAUUCUUUUACCUUUCUUGGUCAGAGCGAUGUAGUGGGAGCUGCAAGCUUCACGUGCUCAACUUUGGCAGAGAACUUUGGCAAAGUUAUCUGUGGUACCCAUGAGCUAUUGUUGCGUGUGGGAAGUGGGUGAUUGAACAGUAAGAUUCAUGUGCUUUCUACUUCACCAGAAGUCUUCGACAGAAUGCCCAUAAUUUCUGCAAAGCUGAGUGUGCGUGUGACAGGUGCUGACAAGGCUAGAAAAGUAGGUGCCUCUUCGAUUUCUGAGAUCGGCCCUCGUGGUCUCUGAGCAGCCCAGCUUUUGAGAAAGCGAGCGCCUCUUCGAUUGAUUCGGAGAACGAUGCCUCAUCGAUUUUUGAGAAAGCAAUCAUGCUGGGGGUCUGGCUCUCGAGAUUCGGGGAGCAGUGUCUCUUCGAUUUUUGAGAAAGUAAUCAUGUUGGGAGAGUCUGGCUCUCGAGAUUCGGAGGGCGGUGCCUCUUCGAUUUUGGAGCAAGCAAUCUUGUUGGGAGUGUUUUUCUCGAAUGUGAGUAAAGGUUGGGCAUGUUUGCUAGUCUACCUUGCCACGAAGCACAGAGGUUGACACACAGGGACUUUCCAAUUAUCCAGCAAUGGUACUGUUCCUUUACCCCUCUCUUCGAUUUUUAAGAAAGUAGUCAUGUUGGGAGUCUGGCUCUUUCGAGAUUCGGAGGACGGUGCCUCUUCGAUUUUGGAGCAAGCAAUCUUAUUGGGAGUGUUUUCUCGAAUGUGAGUAAAGGUUGGGCAUGUUUGCUAGUCUACCUUGCCACGAAGCACAGAGGUUGACACACAGGGACUUUCCAAUUAUCCAGCAGUGGUACUGUUCCUUUACCCUUGUGGGUAAUAAUAUGGUAGCUAGACCUUCAAAAUUUAUGGGUCUAAACUUUGUUAGUGCUGUUUCUUUGCUAUUCUUUUACCCUUCUUGGUCAGAGCGAUGUAGUGGGAGCUGCAAGCUUCACGUGCUCAACUUUGGCAGAGAACUUUGGCAAAGUUAUCUGUGGUACCCAUGAGCUAUUGUUGCGUGUGGGAAGUGGGUGAUUGAACAGUAAGAUUCAUGUGUUUUUCUACUUCCCCAGAAGUCUUUGACAGAAUGCCCAUAAUUUCCGCAAAGCUGAGUGUGCGUGUGACAGGUGCUGACAAGGCUGGAAAAGUAGGUGCCUCUUCGAUUUCUGAGAUCGGCCCUCGUGGUCUCUAAGGAGCCCAGCUUUUGAGAAAGCGAGCGCCUCUUCGAUUUCUGAGAUCGGCCUUCGUGGUCUUUGAGCAGCCCAACUUUUGAGAAAGCAAACGCCUCUUCGAUUUCUGAGAUCAACCCUCGUGAUCUCUAAGCAGCCCAGCUUUUGAGAAAGCAAACGCCUCUUCGAUUUCUGAGCAGGCGCCUCUUUGAUUUCUGAAGCUCCGUCGAGUGCAGAUUUUUAUAGGGGCUGGCAUUAAGUUCCAAAGCACACUUGAAUCUCCACCAGUAGAAGCUUCAUUCUUGCACUUCUAAGAUCUUGAUUUGUCCGACCUCUUCUCUCUUCAACACCUUUGAAAAUGUCUGGCCCCUCCGACCGUCGUUUUGACUUGAACCUUGUUGAAGAGGCAGCCCCGCCUUCUCCAGACAACAUAUGGCGCCCAUCCUUCGUCUCCCCAACUGGUCCUCUUACCGUUGGGGAUUCCGUGAUGAAGAAUGAUAUGACCGCUGCGGUGGUGGCCAGGAACCUUCUCACUCCCAAAGAUAACAGACUACUUUCCAAACGGUCUGAUGAGUUAGCUGUUAAGGAUUCGCUGGCUCUCAGUGUUCAGUGUGCAGGUUCUGUGUCUAAUAUGGCCACAACGCCUAUUUGCUCGAACCCGCCAAGUUGAAUCAUUGGCGGCUGAAGUGAUGAGUCUCAAACAGGAGAUUAGAGGGCUCAAGCAUGAGAAUAAACAGUUGCACCGGCUCGCACAUGACUAUGCUACAAACAUGAAGAGGAAGCUUGACCAGAUGAAGGAAACUGAUGGUCAGGUUUUACUUGAUCAUCAGAGAUUUGUGGGUUUGUUCCAAAGGCAUUUAUUGCCUUCGUCUUCUGGGGCUGUACCGCGUAAUGAAGCUCCAAAAUGAUCAACCUCUGAUGCCUCCUCCUUCUAGGGUUCUGUCCAGUACUGAGGCUCCAAAUGAUCCCCCUCCGGUGCCUUCUCUUUCUGGGGCUCUACCGACUGCUGAGACUUCUCCUAAGCAACCUUUGUGAAGGCUCCCUCUUGUGUGUUUAUUUUGACUCAUGUAUAUGUACAUAUUUGUAGCUUAUCGGGGAUAUCAAUAAAUAAGCUUUCCUUCAUUUCAACGUAUUGUGUUAAAUACACCAAAGCCUUCUUCGCUAAGUUCUUUGAAUUUUCUUUUGUUGAAGCUUGUAUGUUGAAGCUUUCUGAGUGGAGCAUGUAGGUUGGGGUAGUGUUCCCUUAAUUUUUUCCGAGUGAGGAAAACUUCUUGGUUGGAGACUUGGAAAAUCCAAGUCACUGAGUGGGAUCGGCUAUAUGAAUCUUAGAACGCCAUUGUGCUCGAUCCUGUGUCAUGUCCUUCGUUAGAUCCAAGUACUCUAAGUCUUUUCUUAGAGUCUCUUCCAAAGUUUUCCUAGGUCUUCCUCUACCCCUUCGGCCCUGAACCUCUGUCCCAUAGUCGCAUCUUCUAAUCGGAGCGUCAGUAGGCCUUCUUUGCACAUGUCCAAACCACCGUAACCGAUUUUCUCUCAUCUUUCCUUCAAUUUCGGCUACUCCUACUUUACCCCGGAUAUCCUCAUUCCUAAUCUUAUCCUUUCUCGUGUGCCCACACAUCCAACGAAGCAUCCUCAUCUCCGCUACACCCAUUUUGUGUACGUGUUGAUGUUUCACCGCCCAACAUUCUGUGCCAUACAGCAUCGCCGGCCUUAUUGCCGUCCUAUAAAAUUUUCCCUUGAGCUUCAGUGGCAUACGGCGGAUCACACAACACGCCGGAUGCACUCUUCCACUUCAUCCAUCCAGCUUGUAUUCUAUGGUUGAGAUCUCCAUCUAAUUCUCCGUUCUUUUGCAAGAUAGAUCCUAGGUAACGAAAACGGUCGCUCUUUGGUAUUUCUUGAUCUCCGAUCCUCACCCCUAACUCGUUUUGGCCUCC